rnacentral:rRNA from 1 species
GAUCAUGGCUCAGGAUGAACGCUAGCGGCAGGCCUAACACAUGCAAGUCGAGGGGUAGAGGGUGCUUGCAUCCUUGAGACCGGCGCACGGGUGCGUAACGCGUAUGCAACCUGCCUUCCACAGGGGAAUAGCCCAGAGAAAUUUGGAUUAAUGCCCCAUGGCACAUCGAGACGGCAUCGUCUUGGUGUUAAAGUAACAACGGUGGAAGAUGGGCAUGCGUCCCAUUAGCUAGUUGGUAAGGUAACGGCUUACCAAGGCUAUGAUGGGUAGGGGUCCUGAGAGGGAGAUCCCCCACACUGGUACUGAGACACGGACCAGACUCCUACGGGAGGCAGCAGUGAGGAAUAUUGGUCAAUGGACGAGAGUCUGAACCAGCCAAGUAGCGUGAAGGAUGACUGCCCUAUGGGUUGUAAACUUCUUUUAUACGGGAAUAAAGUGGGCUAUGUAUAGCUUUUUGUAUGUACCGUAUGAAUAAGGAUCGGCUAACUCCGUG